GUUAAUACAUCAUUAGUUAGUUUACUAUACGAUUGGCUACAAGUGCUGUCUUCAUGUGAGAUCAGAGAUACAAAUUGACCUGGGGUAUAAAAAUGUGGAGUAAAUCAGCACAACUUUAUUGACCUUCAGUGGAGCUCUGUUGCUUUACACCAGCUGAAGAUCUGGCGCACUGGAUGCAUCGGGAGACAAACCUUGUUGUCACUCUGUAUGUCCGAGGUGUUUACUCGAGAUUAAUUAGUGUUCCUGGGGGAGACAGAGGAUAGAGAAGCGAAC